CGGAGGGUGCGAGCGUUAAUCGGAGUAACUGGGCGUAAAGGGCACGCAGGCGGUGACUUAAGUGAGGUGUGAAAGCCCCGGGCGUUAACCUGGGAAUUGCAUUUCUAUACUGGGUCGGCUAGAGUACUUUAGGGUAGGGGGUAGGAAUUCCACGUGUAGCGGUGAAAUAGCGUAGAGAUGUGGAGGAAUACCGAAGGACGAAGGACAGCCCCUUCGGGAAGUGUACUGACGCUCAUGUGCGAAAGACGUGGGGAGCAAACAGGAUU
rnacentral:rRNA from 1 species